rnacentral:rRNA from 1 species
UACGGGGGAUGCAAGCGUUAUCCGGAUUUAUUGGGUUUAAAGGGUGCGUAGGCGGUUUGAUAAGUCAGCGGUGAAAUAUUUCAGCUUAACUGGAAGGGUGCCGUUGAUACUGUCAGGCUUGAAUAUGGUUGCUGUGGGUGGAAUGUGUGGUGUAGCGGUGAAAUGCUUAGAGAUCACACAGAAUAUCGAUUGCGAAGGCAGCUCACAAAGCCAUUAUUGACGCUGAUGCACGAAAGUGUGGGGAUCAAACAGG